rnacentral:rRNA from 2 species
GUGCGAGACCGAUAGCGAACAAGUACCGUGAGGAAAAGAUGAAAAGAACUUUGAAAAGAGAGUUAAAGAGUACCUGAAACUGCUGAAAGGGAACCGAAUCGUGUCCAGUGUCUAUAAUCCAUGGCAUAUUUCAUUGGCGAGUGAGUGCGUGCAGCGUUUUGGAAGUGGUUUUCCGCUCCUGUCGUUGUUGUGCAUUUGCUUGCUGGUGCCCUGUGCUGUGGUGGGACGUCAGAGUCAGUUUGUAUGUUGCGGGAAAUGGUUAUUGGGGAGGUAGGUCACUUCGGUGGCUGUUAUAUCCUGGUAACUAGUCGUCGUGGCUGAGACUGAGGUGCCUACAAUGUGCUUUCGAGUGUGCGGGAUUCUCGUGUGGCUGUUUGCUUUGAUAGCUUGCUAUGUUGGUGAAUAAGUCGUGCGAUUGAGACUUGUAUUAACUUGUUGCUGUUCGGGACUUUGA